GAUCACCAAUGAGGUGACAGAAUUAAGAAAGAAGCAGGAUGAUGGCAUUUCAAAAGAUCAUUUAAUGUCAAUGCCAAGUACUAACAUCAUGAUUGAAAAAGCAUCUGCUCCAACAACUUUGAGUGCUCUGGCUGUUAACACAAGCGGACAUGAUGCCACAACUCUGAGAACCUCAGGGCCAGGAUCAUCUCUGCCCUGGAUUUGAUCAAGAAGAAGCUGCAGGACUCUGGAACUCCUGUUACUUCGAGGUUGCGGUGAAGGGCUUGCCAAAUGAGAACAACAAAGAAAAGUUAAAAGAUGCUAAUGGCGACAGUAAACAUGUCUGACUCUUCUUCAGAUUCAAAGGAUGAAGUGGACCAUCAAAGGAGGAGUGCAUUACUAAAUUUAUGGAAAUGCUUAAGGAAAGAGGAGUGGCACCAUUCUCAAAAUGGGAGAAGGAACUGCCAAAGAUAGUAUUUGAACCCCGUUUUAAGGUGUGCCAAGUCUGAAGAUUUUGAAUAGUUUGUUUGAGAAUUGGAGGCCUUUUACCACAGGCCAUCCCAAGUCAAUCGGCAAGGAUUGCCUUGUUUGAACACUAUGUUAAGACACAGGCUGAGGAGGAAUGUAAGGAAAAACGAGCAGCUCAGAAGGCUGCAAUAGAGGGAUUCAAGCAGUUACUUGAAGAAGCAUUAGAGACUGCAGGCCGGAGGUGGUUUAUUGAGCAUAUUUUCAUUUUCAAGAUAUUGACCACAACACUGAUUAUCAGACAUUCAGAAAGAAAUGGGGCAGUGAUGCACGGUUUGAGGCAUUAGACCGCAAGGAUCCAGAACUUUUAUUGAAUGAAAGUUACACAAGGUUUUUACUUCUCUUGCUGGGUCCUUCCAUUGAAGAGGGUUGUCGAAGAAAAAGUUCAAGCAAUACGUGCUGCGGCUGCCUCUAUUUUCAAGUCUAUGCUUAAAGAAAAAGGGAAGAUAAUGGGAGUUUUCCCUCAGAAUAUUCAUCUGCCAUGCCCAAAGAAAGAACAGAUAAUGGGCCUGUCCAGGUUAUAGGUGCUACCAGUGACAAAGAUCUCUUAGCUUAGGGGGUAAGACAGGGUCUAUAUCUGCAGAGUUUGAGUGAAUCUAUGUUUAAUGUUUCACACUAUUCAUUAUUUUGUGUCAUAAUUAGUUUUGUAGUUUUCCCCUCUUAUCCAUUUCUUUAGUUUCUCCCAACAACAUUCAAAUUUUAAGGAGCUUUUGAUGCAAUGCUCCAUCAUGAAAAUUGGUUUCCUUUGAUACUGCUUUUAUUUUGUCUUCUAGAGAACUAUGUUUAGGAAUGUUAACUUGCAUCAUUUAAAUUGUUUCGCUACAUACUCGGUAUGCAUAAAAUCCCAAUGAUGAGCAGUUCAAUAUCUCAGCAUAAAAAUAUUUGUUUCCAAGUUUCAUUUUCUGACCAUGCAAAGAGAGCCUUUUGAGAAAAUAUUUCAGCUUGAGGUCACAGAAUUUAUGGACAGGCUGCAGGGUUCUCGGCGAGAAGUACUGAGAUAUGGAAGUUUGGGAGUUGCUAUUUGGAAGUUGCUAUAUCCUAUCUCAUAUGAAAAAUAGACAAAGUAGUUGGAUUGUUUAAGGAAAUGGACAAUUGUGUGGCACCCUGCUCUGUCCUUGUGCAAGAUGAGUUUGGAGUUGCUCUAGCUAAUACUUUAUUAUGAACUGAAAUUCUGAGGAUUAUCUUCAACGUUAGACUUUUGGAUCUUGGUGAUUUAGUUGAGGCAGCUGUUCUGUUUUACGGUGAGAAGAAACUCCUUGACAAUACACCACUUCUUAUGACUUUGGAGAAAGACAAUGAGCCUCGCUUACUCACAUUUCCUUUGAAGUUUCCAUUGAUAUCCUCAACAACUGGCUCUUCAUUUCGGACAGUAACCAUAAUAGAAUAGUGGUAACUGAUUUAGAUGGGAAUUUUAUGGUCCAAAUCGGUAGCUCAAGAGAGGAAGGUCUACGUGAUGGAUCCUUUGAGGAGGCCACGGCCAUCUUUAAUCAUCCUCAAGGCUUGGCUUACAAUGCGAAGAAAAACAUCCUUUAUGUUGCAAAUACUGAAAACCAUGCUUUGAGGUACGUCGCUGGUUCAACCUGGGGUACUGACCCUCGCCUUCAAUACCAACACCAGGGGAAUCAAGGGUGUUUUAGUAAUUAUAAAUACAACCUGGUUCAGGCUUGCAGCCCCAUUGUGACACUGCAGGCUCAUGGCUCUUCACUAAUGUUCUCAAUGGCUAUUACUGUAAAGAAGAUGAAGUGUGCCUUUACCAAUCCCUUUUGUUUGAAGUACCCUUCCACAAUGAAGUUCCAAACUCAACCCCAGCAAAAAUUACUGUUGCUUAUGCCAUUAAGCCGAAAAUUUCAACAACUGUUUUACAGCUUCCAGCUGCAACCUCCUGAAAGCAACUCCAUAUAACCACCUUGUAAGCUUCCUAUAUAGUUUUCUUUUUUACUCACACUUGUCAUAUAAAAUUGAUUUAAGUUGACAAGCCCCACAAGGGCUUUUAAGAGUAGACC